rnacentral:rRNA from 1 species
UACGAAGGGGGCUAGCGUUGCUCGGAAUUACUGGGCGUAAAGGGCUCGUAGGCGGCCAACUAAGUCAGACGUGAAAUCCCCAGGCUCAACCUGGGAACUGCGUCUGAUACUGGAUGGCUUGAAUUCGGGAGAGGGAUGCAGAAUUCCAGGUGUAGCGGUGAAAUGCGUAGAUAUCUGGAGGAAUACCGGUGGCGAAGGCGGCAUCCUGGACCGACAUUGACGCUGAGGAGCGAAAGCUAGGGGAGCAAACGGG